GACGAACGCUGGCGGCGUGCCUAAUACAUGCAAGUCGAACGAGAGCAACCGGUGCUUGCACUGGUCAAUCUAGUGGCGAAUGGGUGAGUAACACGUGGGUAACCUGCCCAUCAGAGGGGGAUAACAUCCGGAAACGGAUGCUAAAACCGCAUAGGUCUUCGAACCGCAUGGUUUGAAGAGGAAAAGAGGCGCAAGCUUCUGCUGAUGGAUGGACCCGCGGUGCAUUAGCUAGUUGGUGAGGUAACGGCUCACCAAGGCCGUGAUGCAUAGCCGACCUGAGAGGGUGAUCGGCCACAUCGGGACUGAGACACGGCCCAAACUCCUACGGGAGGCAGCAGUAGGGAAUCUUCCGCAAUGGACGCAAGUCUGACGGAGCAACGCCGCGUGAGUGAAGAAGGUUUUCGGGUCGUAAAACUCUGUUGUUAGAGAAGAACAAGUGCUAGAGUAACUGUUAGCGCCUUGACGGUAUCUAACCAGAAAGCCACGGCUAACUACGUG
rnacentral:rRNA from 1 species